UACAGAGGGCGCGAGCGUUGUCCGGAAUCACUGGGCGUAAAGGGCGCGUAGGUGGCCACCAUAAGGCCGCGGUGAAAGUUCGGGGCUCAACCCGAAUCGGCCGCGGCGACUGUGGGCUCGGGUACUGUAGAGGCAGAUGGAAUUCCGGGUGGUAGCGGUGGAAUGCGUAGAGAUCCGGAAGAACACCAGUGGCGAAGGCGGUCUGCUGGGCAGUGGGAUCGAAAGGUCCCUCAACCGACACUGAGGCGCGACAGCGUGGGAGCAACAGG
rnacentral:rRNA from 1 species